rnacentral:rRNA from 1 species
UACAGAGGGGGCGAGCGUUGUUCGGAAUUACUGGGCGUAAAGCGCGCGUAGGCGGCUUUGUAAGUUAGAGGUGAAAGCCCGGGGCUCAACCCCGGAACUGCCUUUAAGACUGCAUCGCUUGAAUCCAGGAGAGGUGAGUGGAAUUCCGAGUGUAGAGGUGAAAUUCGUAGAUAUUCGGAAGAACACCAGUGGCGAAGGCGGCUCACUGGCCUGGUAUUGACGCUGAGGUGCGAAAGCGUGGGGAGCAAACAGG